rnacentral:rRNA from 1 species
CGAGAGAGAGCUUGCUUUCUCGAGCGAGUGGCGAACGGGUGAGUAACGCGUGAGGAACCUGCCUCAAAGAGGGGGACAACAGUUGGAAACGACUGCUAAUACCGCAUAAGCCCACAGGUCGGCAUCGACCAGAGGGAAAAGGAGCAAUCCGCUUUGAGAUGGCCUCGCGUCCGAUUAGCUAGUUGGUGAGGUAACGGCCCACCAAGGCGACGAUCGGUAGCCGGACUGAGAGGUUGAACGGCCACAUUGGGACUGAGACACGGCCCAGACUCCUACGGGAGGCAGCAGUGGGGAAUAUUGCACAAUGGGGGAAACCCUGAUGCAGCGACGCCGCGUGGAGGAAGAAGGUCUUCGGAUUGUAAACUCCUGUUGUUGAGGAAGAUAAUGACGGUACUCAACAAGGAAGUGACGGCUAACUACGUGCCAGCAGCCGCGGUAAAACGUAGGUCACAAGCGUUGUCCGGAAUUACUGGGUGUAAAGGGAGCGCAGGCGGGAAGACAAGUUGGAAGUGAAAUCUAUGGGCUCAACCCAUAAACUGCUUUCAAAACUGUUUUUCUUGAGUAGUGCAGAGGUAGGCGGAAUUCCCGGUGUAGCGGUGGAAUGCGUAGAUAUCGGGAGGAACACCAGUGGCGAAGGCGGCCUACUAGGCACCAACUGACGCUGAGGCUCGAAAGUGUGGGUAGCAAACAGGAUUAGAUACCCUGGUAGUCCACACCGUANACGAUGAUUACUAGGUGUUGGAGGAUUNACCCCUUCAGUGCCGCAGUUAACACAAUAAGUAAUCCACCUGGGGAGUACGACCGCAAGGUUGAAACUCAAAGGAAUUGACGGGGGCC